rnacentral:tRNA from 1 species
UGGAGUGUGGUGCAGCGGGAGCACGGUGGCCUUUGAUGGCGUAGCUAUCACCUACAUUCGCGGUUACGACCCGGCUUCGACUCCCGGCACUCCAA